rnacentral:rRNA from 1 species
GACGAACGCUGGCGGCGUGCUUAACACAUGCAAGUCGAACGGAAAGGCCCUGCUUGCCGGGUACUCGAGUGGCGAACGGGUGAGUAACACGUGGGUGAUCUGCCCUGCACUUCGGGAUAAGCCUGGGAAACUGGGUCUAAUACCGGAUAGGAGCCAUUUUUAGUGUGAUGGUUGGAAAGUUUUUUCGGUGUAGGAUGAGCUCGCGGCCUAUCAGCUUGUUGGUGGGGUAAUGGCCUACCAAGGCGGCGACGGGUAGUCGGCCUGAGAGGGUGGACGGCCACAGUGGGACUGAGAUACGGCCCAGACUCCUACGGGAGGCAGCAGUGGGGAAUAUUGCACAAUGGGCGCAAGCCUGAUGCAGCGACGCCGCGUGGGGGAUGACGGCCUUCGGGUUGUAAACGCCUUUCGCUAGGGACGAAGCUUUUUGUGACGGUACCUAGAUAAGAAGCACCGGCUAACUACGUG